UACGUAGGGUGCAAGCGUUAAUCGGAAUUACUGGGCGUAAAGCGUGCGCAGGCGGUGAUGUAAGACAGUUGUGAAAUCCCCGGGCUCAACCUGGGAACUGCAUCUGUGACUGCAUCGCUGGAGUGCGGCAGAGGGGGAUGGAAUUCCGCGUGUAGCAGUGAAAUGCGUAGAGAUGCGGAGGAACACCGAUGGCGAAGGCGGGUCUCUGGAACGCAACUGACGCUGAGACGCGAAAGCGUGGGGAGCAAACAGG
rnacentral:rRNA from 1 species